rnacentral:misc_RNA from 1 species
AAAGCGAAUUGUGCUUUCAGCUUAGCUUUCGCUUCACUGUCUCUCUUCCUCUCUCUAUCAGUUUGUUGUUUGUAGAUCGAUCUUCGUUGUUGAUUGAUUGAUGCUAUAGAGAAGGAGUUUAGUGAAAGAGUAGGCGUAAUUUAUUAAGGAAGAGAUAUGGAGGAAAGCAGGUUGUGUCAGUGGACUGUGAUUCGAUCUGUACUCGCCAUUCUUCAAUGGUGGGGUUUUAAUGUCACUGUUAUUAUCAUGAAUAAGUGGAUCUUUCAGAAAAUGGAUUUUAAGUUUCCUUUGACAGUGUCUUGCAUACACUUUAUCUGCUCAGCUAUUGGUGCAUACACGGUGAUUAAAGUGCUAAAGCUUAAACCUCUUAUUGUGGUUGACCCUGAGGAUCGCUGGAGAAGGAUUUUCCCCAUGUCUUUCGUGUUUUGUAUCAACAUAGUGCUGGGCAAUGUCAGCCUGCGCUACAUCCCUGUUUCAUUUAUGCAAACGAUAAAGUCAUUCACCCCUGCUACUACAGUUAUUUUGCAGUGGCUAGUUUGGAGCAAGCACUUUGACUUGCGGAUUUGGGCAUCUUUGAUACCUAUUGUUGGAGGAAUUCUCCUCACCUCCAUCACAGAGCUAAGUUUCAACACGUUUGGAUUUUG